UUAAGCGACUAAGCGUACACGGUGGAUGCCCUGGCAGUCAGAGGCGAUGAAGGACGUGCUAAUCUGCGAAAAGCGCCGGCGAGGUGAUAUGAACCUUUGACCCGGCGAUGUCCGAAUGGGGAAACCCAGUGCAAUCCGUUGCACUAUCGUUAACUGAAUACAUAGGUUAACGAGGCGAACCGGGGGAACUGAAACAUCUAAGUACCCCGAGGAAAAGAAAUCAACCGAGAUUCCCCCAGUAGCGGCGAGCGAACGGGGAGCAGCCCGGAGUCUGAAUCAGCUUGUGUGUUAGUGGAACGGUCUGGAAAGUCCGACGGUACAGGGUGAUAGUCCCGUACACGAAAGCACACAUGCUGUGAACUCGAAGAGUAGGGCGGGACACGUGGUAUCCUGUCUGAAUAUGGGGGGACCAUCCUCCAAGGCUAAAUACUCCUGACUGACCGAUAGUGAACCAGUACCGUGAGGGAAAGGCGAAAAGAACCCCGGCGAGGGGAGUGAAAAAGAACCUGAAACCGUGUACGUACAAGCAGUGGGAGCCUCUUUAUGGGGUGACUGCGUACCUUUUGUAUAAUGGGUCAGCGACUUAUAUUCUGUAGCAAGGUUAACCGUAUAGGGGAGCCGAAGGGAAACCGAGUCUUAACUGGGCGUUAAGUUGCAGGGUAUAGACCCGAAACCCGGUGAUCUAGCCAUGGGCAGGUUGAAGGUUGGGUAACACUAACUGGAGGACCGAACCGACUAAUGUUGAAAAAUUAGCGGAUGACCUGUGGCUGGGGGUGAAAGGCCAAUCAAACCGGGAGAUAGCUGGUUCUCCCCGAAAGCUAUUUAGGUAGCGCCUCGUGAACUCAUCUUCGGGGGUAGAGCACUGUUUCGGCUAGGGGGCCAUCCCGGCUUACCAACCCGAUGCAAACUACGAAUACCGAAGAAUGUUAUCACGGGAGACACACGGCGGGUGCUAACGUCCGUCGUGAAGAGGGAAACAACCCAGACCGCCAGCUAAGGUCCCAAAGUCAUGGUUAAGUGGGAAACGAUGUGGGAAGGCACAGACAGCCAGGAUGUUGGCUUAGAAGCAGCCAUCAUUUAAAGAAAGCGUAAUAGCUCACUGGUCGAGUCGGCCUGCGCGGAAGAUGUAACGGGGCUAAACCAUGCACCGAAGCUGCGGCAGCGACACUAUGUGUUGUUGGGUAGGGGAGCGUUCUGUAAGCCGUUGAAGGUGUCCUGUGAGGGGUGCUGGAGGUAUCAGAAGUGCGAAUGCUGACAUAAGUAACGAUAAAGCGGGUGAAAAGCCCGCUCGCCGGAAGACCAAGGGUUCCUGUCCAACGUUAAUCGGGGCAGGGUGAGUCGACCCCUAAGGCGAGGCCGAAAGGCGUAGUCGAUGGGAAACAGGUUAAUAUUCCUGUACUUGGUGUUACUGCGAAGGGGGGACGGAGAAGGCUAUGUCAGCCGGGCGACGGUUGUCCCGGUUUAAGCAUGUAGGCGGAGGUUCCAGGUAAAUCCGGUACCUUGUUAACGCUGAGGUGUGAUGACGAGGCACUACGGUGCUGAAGUGAUAAAUGCCCUGCUUCCAGGAAAAGCCUCUAAGCAUCAGGUAACACGAAAUCGUACCCCAAACCGACACAGGUGGUCAGGUAGAGAAUACCAAGGCGCUUGAGAGAACUCGGGUGAAGGAACUAGGCAAAAUGGUGCCGUAACUUCGGGAGAAGGCACGCUGAUAUGUAGGUGAAGUCCCUGCGGACGGAGCUGAAAUCAGUCGAAGAUACCAGCUGGCUGCAACUGUUUAUUAAAAACACAGCACUGUGCAAACACGAAAGUGGACGUAUACGGUGUGACGCCUGCCCGGUGCCGGAAGGUUAAUUGAUGGGGUUAGCGGCAACGCGAAGCUCUUGAUCGAAGCCCCGGUAAACGGCGGCCGUAACUAUAACGGUCCUAAGGUAGCGAAAUUCCUUGUCGGGUAAGUUCCGACCUGCACGAAUGGCGUAAUGAUGGCCAGGCUGUCUCCACCCGAGACUCAGUGAAAUUGAACUCGCUGUGAAGAUGCAGUGUACCCGCGGCAAGACGGAAAGACCCCGUGAACCUUUACUAUAGCUUGACACUGAACACUGGUCCUUGAUGUGUAGGAUAGGUGGGAGGCUUUGAAGCGUGGACGCCAGUCUGCGUGGAGCCAACCUUGAAAUACCACCCUUUAAUGGCUGGUGUUCUAACGUAGACCCGUGAUCCGGGUUGCGGACAGUGUCUGGUGGGUAGUUUGACUGGGGCGGUCUCCUCCCAAAGAGUAACGGAGGAGCACGAAGGUUGGCUAAUCCUGGUCGGACAUCAGGAGGUUAGUGCAAUGGCAUAAGCCAGCUUGACUGCGAGCGUGACGGCGCGAGCAGGUGCGAAAGCAGGUCAUAGUGAUCCGGUGGUUCUGAAUGGAAGGGCCAUCGCUCAACGGAUAAAAGGUACUCCGGGGAUAACAGGCUGAUACCGCCCAAGAGUUCAUAUCGACGGCGGUGUUUGGCACCUCGAUGUCGGCUCAUCACAUCCUGGGGCUGAAGUAGGUCCCAAGGGUAUGGCUGUUCGCCAUUUAAAGUGGUACGCGAGCUGGGUUUAGAACGUCGUGAGACAGUUCGGUCCCUAUCUGCCGUGGGCGCUGGAGAAUUGAGGGGGGCUGCUCCUAGUACGAGAGGACCGGAGUGGACGCAUCACUGGUGUUCGGGUUGUCAUGCCAAUGGCACUGCCCGGUAGCUAAAUGCGGAAAAGAUAAGUGCUGAAAGCAUCUAAGCACGAAACUUGCCCCGAGAUGAGUUCUCCCUGAGACUUUAAGUCUCCUGAAGGAACGUUGAAGACGACGACGUUGAUAGGUCGGGUGUGUAAGCGCAGCGAUGCGUUGAGCUAACCGAUACUAAUGAACCGUGAGGCUUAACCUU
rnacentral:rRNA from 1 species